CAGUAGCCGCGGUAAAACGUAGGUGGCAAGCGUUGUCCGGAAUUAUUGGGCGUAAAGGGCUCGCAGGCGGUUUCUUAAGUCUGAUGUGAAAGCCCCCGGCUCAACCGGGGAGGGUCAUUGGAAACUGGGAAACUUGAGUGCAGAAGAGGAGAGUGGAAUUCCACGUGUAGCGGUGAAAUGCGUAGAGAUGUGGAGGAACACCAGUGGCGAAGGCGACUCUCUGGCUUGUAACUGACGCUGAGGCUCGAAAGCGUGGGGAGCAAACAGGAUUAGAUACCCCGGUAGUCCCUGUCUCUUAUAC
rnacentral:rRNA from 1 species